GAUGAACGCUGGCGGCGUGCCUAAUACAUGCAAGUCGAGCGAACGGACGAGAAGCUUGCUUCUCUGAUGUUAGCGGCGGACGGGUGAGUAACACGUGGAUAACCUACCUAUAAGACUGGGAUAACUUCGGGAAACCGGAGCUAAUACCGGAUGAUAUUUUGAACCGCAUGGUUCAAAAGUGAAAGACGGUCUUGCUGUCACUUAUAGAUGGAUCCGCGCUGCAUUAGCUAGUUGGUAAGGUAACGGCUUACCAAGGCAACGAUGCAUAGCCGACCUGAGAGGGUGAUCGGCCACACUGGAACUGAGACACGGUCCAGACUCCUACGGGAGGCAGCAGUAGGGAAUCUUCAGCAAUGGGCGAAAGCCUGACGGAGCAACGCCGCGUGAGUGAUGAAGGUCUUCGGAUCGUAAAACUCUGUUAUUAGGGAAGAACAUAUGUGUAAGUAACUGUGCACAUCUUGACGGUACCUAAUCAGAAAGCCACGGCUAACUACGUG
rnacentral:rRNA from 1 species